rnacentral:rRNA from 1 species
GACGAACGCUGGCGGCGUGCUUAACACAUGCAAGUCGAACGGAAAGGCCCUGCUUUUGUGGGGUGCUCGAGUGGCGAACGGGUGAGUAACACGUGAGUAACCUGCCCUUGACUUUGGGAUAACUUCAGGGAACUGGGGCUAAUACCGGAUAGGAGCUCCUGCUGCAUGGUGGGGGUUGGAAAGUUUCGGCGGUUGGGGAUGGACUCUCGGCUUAUCAGCUUGUUGGUGGGGUGGUGGCUUACCAAGGCUUUGACGGGUAGCCGGCCUGAGAGGGUGACCGGCCACAUUGGGACUGAGAUACGGCCCAGACUCCUACGGGGGGCAGCAGUGGAGAAUAUUGCACAAUGGGCGGAAGCCUGAUUCAGCAACGCCCCGUGCGGGAUGACGGCCUUCGGGUUGUAAACCGCUUUCGCCUGUGACGAAGCGUGAGUGACGGUAAUGGGUAAAGAAGCACCGGCUAGCUACGUG